CAGAAAAAUAUAGGCGAACACGAGCACGAGGGCUCGCCUUCGAUGCGUGCGGGUACGCCGCCGCCGCCGCCGCCGCCGCUGCCGCACGCCGCCUCUCCGGCCAUCCGCUGCCGCUGACGCGCGCGGUCUCUCUGCCAUCCGCCGCCCUGUUCGCCUUCCCUUCCCCAUCCGUCUCAAUCUUCUCUGGCGCCACCUGAAGCCUCCUCAACCUGCAAGCUCCUGCCAUCAAGCCCUUCUAAUCUCGCUGGAACAUGGACUUAACCGGAACGCCGUCCUGCUAGCCGUGCCCACUUGAGCGAGGAGAGAGUGGUGAGGCGGCUUAGGUGAGGCUCAGGACGGCGUCUCGCAUUUCUGGUGUUCGACAGUAUGCCUAAGCAGUGACCGCAUCCACGAUGAUAUCCAGUUCUUUGUCUCGUGUAAGAGUAUUAUGAUAUAUGAGAUGCUUGAAUGAAGGGAUCCUUGGAUUGUGUGCAAUAACAGUUUGUGUAAAUAUCUGAGGGUAAAGACAGCUCACGUAGAUGCCUCUGUGACCAGACCUCUCUAUAUAUCCUUUUCUAUAAACUAAUAGUUGUCAUUGCCAUACUAAUUGUGUGCUUUUCUAUUAGAAAAUCUCAGGGUAAAGACAUCUCAUGGGGAUGCCUAUGUGACCAGACCUCUCUAUAUAUCCUUUUCUAUAAACUAAUAGAUGUCAUUGCCAUACUAAUUGUGUACUUUUCUAUUAGAAAAGCACAAGAGAUUUGCUUCUGUACUCCUAAUUAAUCUGGUUUAGUUUCAGCAUAAUUGUUCUCAGUCAUUAUCCUCAAAUAUUUAAUAUGAACUAAUGCAGUCACGACACCAUAUUUCUUCCCCUGCUAUACACUUAUAUCACUAUACCAAUUUAAAUAUAGGGAGCUGCCUAUGGACUUGGAAGCCUGAAAAAGGAAAAUAGUAAACAACUUUGAGUCUCACAAUCAAAAUUGAGACGAUAUUGUAUAUAUUUAAUUGGAAUUAUGUGAAAAUUGUAGUGUGCCUUAUCUAUUUCCUUAUCUGUUGUUAUGUAUUAUUUGUAUAGUUACUGUUUUUAAUGUUUAAUUUAACCUUAUGUAAUUUCUGAAAAAACUGAAAGAUGCAUAACAUUGUUAUGCUGAUCAUGGAGGAUGGAUAUUUCUUUGAGCUUCUAUCGUCGAUAGGGACGCUGUAGUGAGAUUUCUAUCGAACUCAAGAUAUUGAAAGUUGAAGGUUGGCACUGGUGGGGCUUGCUUCUAUGAGCACUGUUAGGUAUGUGGCGUCAACAAGUUACGCUUAGAAGUACUAAACUUAUGUACGCAAAUAUCACUAUGUUUUGCACACACCUGGGUGCUAAUUCUUCCUUGGAUUUUUCGUACGCAAAUAGCACUACCUUACAUUUCACACACCAGGGUGCUAAUUCUUUAAAGUAUUAUUCUAUAAAAUAUGAAUUUAAAUUUAGGCAGGUCUAUCUUACAUAUGCGAACUCAUGUUAAUUUUCAGCGAGUGAAACAUGUGUUAUGUGACCCACAAGAGCAUCUUCACUGCCUAACAAGGAUAUAAGCCCCCAUCUUGAAGAAAACAUUGAAUGUAAGAAUGUCAUAAUAGAAAAUUACUCAGAAAAUUAUAAAAACAAGCUUGCCGAUCAGUUACGGCUGAUGUCUUUCCUUGAUUUUCUUUGUUGCCGUUCCGCCAUAAUAUAUUGUUCAAGGAAGUUCAAGGUAGCUCCUUGCCAAGCUGACAUGUCCUUACCAUUGUAGGUUAGAGAAUUGACUUCUCAUAAACUUUUUUUGUACCCCUUUUCAGCCAGAUAGUUAUAUUGUGAAACACUUGACAAAGAAGCUCUCUGUCAACUAUUAAAGCAUUGCCAAUUUCUGUCCUAAAGCUGAAUGUUUUUGUGGGCAAUUGGUUCAUAAAAGCAAUGGCAAGUGAGAACUACUAAAGCAUUGAGUGUCUCCUUGCCUCCCUCACGGGCUACACACGUUGCGACCUGCUCGGAUGCAACAUGCUGGUCUUCCAAGGAGCCGCCGCCGAGCACACCGGUGUUUCCGGGUUGUACGAGGCCCUGUAAACACUUAUAAUUUUAGUGAUGUUGGCACAACCUGACCUUGCUGAUGCGACAUGAGGUGUUUUUUUCUAGCAAUCACGCACAUCUGAAGACUUACUGGACUACUUUCCGAACUGACCGGACGCGACAUGAUAGGCAAGUACAAAAGAGCUAGCUGAUUGAUUCACCAUACAAUUAUACUAUUAUCUGAAGGCACGAUUAGCUGCUGCUGGAAGUGUUGAUGUAUUGGUAUUGGCAGGUUUUGCCAGUACUUGAAAUGCCAUUUUAAGUAGAGGUAUUAGAGAUACGAAGUUCUAACUCUGUUCUUGUGCUAAUCUAAAAAUAAUUUGGUGAUUUCAAGUAGUUCUGAGAAUAUAAGUCUUAUCCCUUUUUUUAAUAAUGGUAAGAGCAUAGAUCUCAUCGACCAGGAAAUAAUCCAUCAGGUAAGCAAAACACUGAAUAAUCACCAUCUGUACGAAAUAGUACCUGCACAUAUUAUUUCCAUGAUGAAAAAAGUUGGUUUGUUUACUGUAAUGAACCACCUUAUGGCCUUUGUGUAUUCCAGGAACUACCAAGGUUCCGUAUCUUCCUGUUUGAUCCAAAAUGCAUAUACACAUGAUUAUGAUGGAGAUACUAUCUGGUAUGAACAACAUAAUCAUCUUGCAAUACUAACAUGUAUUCAUUUAACUCAUUUAUGCACAUAAUAGUGAUGCAUCUUAUGUGUUCUAUUCUAUCUGAAGCUUCAAUGCAAUUAACUGCAGAAGUUGCCAUCAACAGGAUUGAGCAAUGUGGCAUAUAAGCUUUAGCUUGCUGGUUCAUAUUAUCAGUGUUAAUCUUCUGGUCGUGGCAAUUUUUUAGACUUUUUGAGGUAGCUAAACUAAUCUGGUGUUAAGCUAUGAAGGAUUUUGCUUUUGGAAAGGUUACUGAAAGGAUACCUUAACUUUGUUUUAUCCCCUAGAUCAAUUUUUUUUCUGGAAAGGUUACUGAAAGAGUACCUUAACUUUCUUUCAUCCCCUAGAUCGGUUUAAGUAUGUUAAGCCCACGUUUAUUUAGAUGUAUAGCUUUGCAUGACAGUCUUGUUUUAACAGAUUAUUGGGGCAUUAUGCAAUGUAUAUUCUGCAUUUCUGCUCAUCAUUAUUCUCAUGUAUAUUGGCACUUUCCUUUGGGGAUAACCAGGCGCCUACGCUUUAAGCGAACAGGAACAACGCAAGUGCUCCCUACACCUCCUCUCAAAUUCUGCCCAAGAGCAUCCUACUUUCUCCCUGUUUGCUUAAAGUUCUUCUUAUUUUUACAGCUUGAGGUUCAUAAAAUAUAUGUACCCAGUUGUGGUUACGAUGGUUGAUUGUUAGCUAGACCUUUGUGUCGUUAAUUAUACAGAUUAAUUGUGUUCAGUCUUACCGAUAAAAAGACUAUUCCCCUUUU